CACACAAAUACAAAUAUAGUAGAUUCUUUAGUACUUGGGUCAAGAGUUGAAGUCUCAAUUAUUUUAGUAUUUCUCUUAUUAUUUUCAUAAGAUAUGGUAAGUGUAUAAGUAUUUUUUUAAGGGAUUAUAUGUAUACGUUAGAUUUUUGGAACAUUAAUUAUGAGGUCCUUUACGUAUAUUCUACGUUUGGGCCGGAGUAUAGUAGCUCUACGCAUGCAAGUGUCAUACCACCUAUAUUCAGUAUAGAUUUUCAUGUCUCAAUAUGUAUAUAUGUAUGAAGUUUUUUAAAUUUUGUAUAAAUAUUAAUCCAUGUAUUUAUAUACUUAUUGAGAUUGGUCUUACACCUCCUUUAUCCCCUUUCAAGAAAUUGAUGGUUCGUGACAAUUAAGACAUGAGAAGGCUGGCAAAUUGGCAAGUGA
rnacentral:lncRNA from 1 species